rnacentral:rRNA from 1 species
AGGAUUAACGCUGGCGGCGUGCCUGACACAUGCAAGUCGAACGAGGCCGCAAGGCCGAGUGGCGGACGGGUGAGUAACACGUGACCAACCAACCUCGAAGUUGGGAAUAGCUCUGCGAAAGUAGGGGUAAUACCGAAUGUGGCCCAGGGCGGGCAUCCGCCUUGGUCUAAAGAUUCAUCGCUUCGAGACGGGGUCGCGGCCUAUUAGCUUGUUGGUGAGGUAACGGCUCACCAAGGCGAUGAUGGGUAGCUGGUCUGAGAGGACGACCAGCCACACUGGGACUGAGACACGGCCCAGACUCCUACGGGAGGCAGCAGUGAGGAAUCUUCCGCAAUGGGCGAAAGCCUGACGGAGCAACGCCGCGUGUGGGAUGAAAGACUCUAGGGUUGUAAACCACUGUCGGAGGGGACGAUCGUGACGGUACCCUCCAAGAAACGCCCCGGCUAACUACGCGCCAGCAGCCGC